rnacentral:ncRNA from 1 species
GGUAACGGUAUGGAUGGAGGAAGUGGUGUAGCAAAGUUCUUGAGCCUACGAACAGAAACUUGAUAAGGCGAUUAGGUGGGUAAGAUUGCAAAUCAAAUCGAAGCCCAAAUGGUAAACGUAAACCGAAAUUGUAAAUCAAUGAAAAA